CGCUCAUUGGCCGGCGCUGCCGGCAGCCAGGUCCCUGGCGCUGCGCGGCCUUUGUUCCCGGCUGACAGCUGUGGCCCAGUGGACCUCCCCGCCCACGAGCGCUCCGGCCCAGCGGCCCGGCUGCCCGGCUGCCCGGCUGCCCCAUCUCUCCACGCUGGCUUCGCUCAGACCCCGCCCGGCGGCCCUGCGUGCUGAGUCUGUCUCGCCCUGGUCUGACUUUGCCUGUCGUGCUCUUUCCUCUUUUCUUACCUGCACUCCCUUCUUGCUCCUUCCGCGUUUCCUCUCCUGCUCCCCUUUCUCUGCGACCCCCUUCUUGAUACCCCUUUCUCUAGCUCACCAGUUUCUUUUUCCCAAUAGAUUCCAUCUCCCCACCCCCUGCGCUCGCUCGGAAAGGCUGGGCUUCUCGGGUCUAGGACCUAGGUGGGGGGUUUCUUCCCCACGUCGGGGACCCCGGCACUCCUGUCCCCGGUUUCAAAUCAACUUUUCCACCUCUGUCACAGGGGCAGAGUUUCAGGAGAUCCUUGCUGCCUUCUGGACCGGACCCCGAACCUUCAGUUCCAGGCCUCCUGGAAGGCAGUGCAGCAAAGGGUUUAAAAACACAGAAAGGUGGCAGGAGACUGAAUGAACCGCUGCAAAUAUAAGACAGGGUCUCACUGUGUAGUUCAGGCUGGCCUUGGACUCACUGCAUAGCCCAGGUGGGCCUCGAUCUCUUGGGAAUCCUCCUGCUUCAGCCUCCUGAGUGCUGGGAUUACAGGCAUACACCACCAUGCCCGGCUCAAUUUGUGAAUUUUUUAACGGAGUUUUCUGUUUAAUAUUCUUGAAUAUCAGUUGACUUUGGGUAACUGAAACUGCAGAAAAUGAGAGGGAAAAUGUGAGGGACAAAAAUAUUUGGCUGCAUGAUCGAUAUACCCUUAUUGUCUACUCUGUGAUUUUUAAACUAUGGGGAUUUGUUAAAAAUGCAAAGUCUCUGUAACACCUCCAAGCUACAGAAUCCAAAACUCAGGGUGGGACCCAACCAUCUGUGUUUUAGCAGGCACUCUAGGUGGUUUUCAUGCCUCUCAAUUUGGAGAUUCCUUGCCUUCAAUUUGAGAAACCAAGGUUAUUUUUACUUCUUACACGUGACUAACCAAGGUAAAGGGCAAGUGACGUGCGUUCUAAAAGUUUAGAAUAGCAAAUGACACAAUUUUGUAUAUGUAAAUGUUUCUGUAUUUUAUAUAUAAACUUCAUAUGUGUAUAUGUACUUAUGUAUUACAUACUGUAUGCAUAAACAUGUGAAUAUACCUUGUAAACUAC
ensembl:lncRNA